rnacentral:ncRNA from 1 species
UCUUAUUCAGAGUGGUGGAGGUACAUAGGACCUGUGAAGCCACGGCAACCCCUUGAUUUAUUCAGGAAGGUGCCAACCUGAGCGUGCAUUU